GACGAACGCUGGCGGCAUGCCUAACACAUGCAAGUCGAACGGAGAAUGUCAAAUGAAGUUUUCGGAUGGAUUUUGAUAUUCUUAGUGGCGGACGGGUGAGUAACGCGUGAGCAACCUGCCUUUCAGUGGGGGACGAACAGUUGGAACGACUGCUAAUACCGCAUAAUGUAUACGGAUCGCAUGGUCUGUAUACCAAAGAUUUUAUUCGCUGAAAGAUGGGCUCGCGUAUGAUUAGAUAGUUGGUGAGGUAACGGCUCACCAAGUCGACGAUCAUUAGCCGGACUGAGAGGUUGAACGGCCACAUUGGGGACUGAGACACGGCCCAGACUCCUACGGGAGGCAGCAGUGAGGAA
rnacentral:rRNA from 1 species